UUCCUGUUCCCCUUUCCCCUUUUAUCUUUUUACAUUUUUUUCUUUUUUCCUUUUUUUUUCCCUUUUUUUUAUUUUAUUUUUUUUCAUACCACAGCUGUGGGCACUUCACAGCUGAGUGGGGACCUGAUGAGCAAAGAUCCACAGCUGGAGUGGGUGGUGCUGGUGGAUGGUAGGGGGGACGCUUGGGGCACCCUGCAUGUAGGCUUUAAAUACAGAAAAAAGCAGAUUAUUUAGCUAUGUAAAAAACAGCACAUUUAUUAAUUUUACAGGACAGUGCCCAAUGCACAAUGGCACUGGCCCUGAACCCAGCUGCACUUUGUCAGAGCCGUGUGCUGUGCUCUAAGGCCAAGCUGGGCUCUCGCCUGUUGGGUCUUCUCUCUGGGCUUGGGACACUGCUGCUUGGGCUCGGCGGGGAUCUGGGCUCAUUUGGCCGGGUUUGGGGCUUGGGCACAGGACUGAGUUGGGUGAGCUUGGAAAUGGAGCUGAGCUCUGUGUUUCGGGGGCUUGCGAAGAGGCCCAGUGUGCUGCUACUGAGGCUUGAAAACAGGGACCCCGUGCUGGGGUUCCAAAGCAAGAUGAAGAUGAAAAUGAAACAAAGCAGAAGCGAGUGGGAAGUGAACCAAAGAUCUCCAGCAGGGCUAGGAGAUGUCUGCUGUCUAAAGGUGUGGAUUUCUGCGAGCUGGAGGCACAAUAUGUUCAGGAUGUUCUGGGCUAAUAAAUCAAUAAAUCCAACCUGAAUCAGUCAAUGCCUAUACAAUGCACGACUAUGGCACUGAAGAUUAAUAUUCAAGGUAUGACAGUGACUAACUUAUGACCUUGUCUAAAGUCCAAACUGUUUGAACAAGUACAGGCUGUAGCUUUGUGGAGCUGGAAGGAUCCAGGGCUCCCUGGAUGCCUGUGCUCCCUGCAGUGUCCCAUCUGCUCAGUAAAGCAACAACAUAAAGCAAUGGUGAGCUGCAUCCACAAACAGCCCCAGCUGCAGGAGAAACCAAUCCCAGGUGGGUGCAGGUCCCUCAUCCAGCCCCAGCAGCCCCACAGGAUGUGCCCUGACACCCGUGGCCAAACACUGCUGCUAACCUUAAACCAGGAGCUACCAGCCACCACCGUGUGAGUUGUGCCUCAUGAUCCACCUGCAGGAACUGAAAGGAUCUGUGCCAAAACCUGUGUGUGAAGAGAGUGGUGUAUCCUGGGAAGUGCAGUGUAUCUUCUGGGUUUGGGCCUUUGCAAGAGGUACUGCCUUUUCCAGAAGCUGCAAUUCGCUAUUUUCCUGACCUGCGUCUCUCUGUUGCUGUCCUACUGCACUUCGGUCAUGUGCAACUAAAACUUCUUGUCAGUCCCACUUCUGGAUGCUGAGGCUGAAGCUCAGAGCAUGAGUACAUCUUUGGCUUGCCAAGCAGAGGAGCUGGAAAAUAGACCAAAAAGAUUAAGAGCUACUUCAGCGUUUUUGUCAGAAGGCUCAUGCCAACAUGAUGACUGUCUAGCAGCUUUUCAUGCCGGUCCACGUGCAUCUAAUUAUUAGCUGUGUGUCUCGUGAAAUGAUUUAAGUGACAUGAGUUCCAGAGCAAGCGAUUGCUGCGCACCUUUCAAGUUUUGUUGGUCACGAAGUGUGUUCCAGUGAAAAGAAAGCAGGCCUGCUCAGGCACUUCUUGCACAGCCAACAGAAGACAGCCCUAAGAUGUUUCAGCACUGGUGUGAGCCCCGCUGCUCCAUCUACUUCACCAGCUCUUGUUACAGACACCAGUCCUGUGUUUACCAUGCACCUGCUGAAAUACGAAGCUGCACAGAAUUGUAAGGAUCAAGGUGUCUGAGGUGUGUUCCUGAGAACCUGACUGUGAUGGAGACCUUGGAGUUUUACCUGGAAAGACCUAUGUUUCUCAGCAUAGAGAGUAGCAGACAUCUGUAUCCUUAACGCUUCCUUCAUGAUGAUGGACACUACAAUGAAUCUUGAUGAUGCCUAGUAUGUCCCAAGAAGCAUAGAUUUCUUUGAAGGCUUUGUGUACUUCUGAUAUAACUUGAGGGCUUCAGGUGGAAUAGCAGAUGAAAGUCCAGUGUUCUUAGAAAACAUUGUAGUAUUGGCUUCAAAACCUGUCUGCUUAUUGCAAUCUACAAAGUCAAGACAAUUUAAUUAAAAGGAUGAGAGAAUUUUCUGCCGGAGAACAGCCUGUGACUGCGAGACCCCCAGUGCUGAUCUCUUCUGCUGCUCAGAGUGUGACUAGUCACAUCACCAGCCAGUGGCUCAACCAAAUGGGGCGCAAGCUCUACUACAGUGGGGACAACUGGACCUACAGCUGUCACCAGUGCUGUUGCCUGGAAGGAGAAGUGGACUGUUGGCCUGUUCUGUGCCCCAAUCUAAACUUUAAGUACGCAGCCAUGUCAGAAGGAGAGUGCUGUCCCUGCUGCGUCAGUGACCCCUGCCUGGCUGACAACAUCACCUAUGACAUCAGGAAAACCUGUCUAGAUGGCUCUGGAAUUACAAGACUUAGUGGCGCUAUAUGGACCGUGGUGGGAUCUCCUUGUACAACCUGCAAAUGCAAAGUACGAUGGACAAGGUUGAAUGGUAAUGGAAAUGUUGGUUGCUACAUAAAAACAGGGUCGUUUUCUGCCGUUGGAAGCUCAUAUUCAGAUUGCUGCAAAGUGAAUCAGACCUGAGGGCAGAAAAAGUAGCAUACCAAAACAAUUAUGUGGUCUGCAGGGUGGAAACAGAACAAUCUGUGCUUGUUUUCUUAAAAAUGUUAAUCACAGCUAUGUAAUAUCCUAGCACAACUUACAGGCAUUCUGUUGGCGAGCAUUUCAGGCAUUUUUAGUAUGAAACUAGGCUAACAUUUUAAUAAUUAAUUCAUGUGAAUGUUUAUGAAAAUGUCUUUUGCAGAGCUGGUAAGCAGAGUCAAGAAUACUAAUACAAGUUUCACCAGCAAGUAUAUAAGUAGAAACCCCAUAUGAAGGCACUUCCAUAAGAGAAGUGGGAGGGAAACGUCACAGUUUCUAUUUCCUAACCAAAUCAUCAUGUAUUCUGUCCAGUGGCUUUCAGGCAGAAGAACAGUCUGUCUCCCCUUUUCCAUGCAGUGGUGGUCCCACUGGGCUACUUUUCUGUGACCUCUCUUGUGUACUAUCCCUGAUCUCAAAAAUUUUGUAUGGUUUUCUGAUCAGUGGGCCAGCAUGAACAGGGAGAGAGCAAGAGCACGUCUGCUUUAUUUGCUGCUCUCUGAGUAGAUCAGAGAGGUCACUGUAGGGAGUACUCUAACCCAUAAGUAUGUACAUAAUGAACACUGCCAGCAGUUCUACAGAGAAAGGGUAAAGGCGUUUGUCUCUAAACAAGGUAGAUAAUGCAGAGCAGUGUGUGCCAGGAGGAGCUCCAAGCUAGCAAGCUCAGCCUCCCCAGAGUGCCUACUUUGGGGCUGCCCAAGUGUAGGAGGGACCAGGGCCAGAAAAAUUAUUUUCCAUCAUUUUCUGGAAGUUGUUUCAGGCAUUGUUUUCCCAGCUGUUCUCCUGUCACAGUGUCUGCAGUGUGAACCUUGUGCCUGGAUGCUGCACUUCCCCAUUUACUGGGCUUACAGUUUGAAAUCGUAACCUUUCUGGCAUCUGGUCUGGUCCACUAGGUUCUUGCCUGCUUCUGCCCUCUGCCACAGUUCACUGCCCUUCAGUUGUACAGGAGUAAAUGUUUUAGAGGCUGUGAUACAAGCAGAAAUGACAACAUGGACCGGAUUAAAAAGGGCAAUUUUCUGUGAAAUUAUACUUAUACAAAGGUGAUGCUCAGAUCUAGAAUAUGGUGUUCCUCACAAAAGAAUAAAGUGAAGAUCACUUACUUUUUCCUCACCACUUACAAAUUAUCUUAAGGUAGUUGUCACCAAAGCCAGUCGCUGUGGACUUAAGGCUGUAGUAGAUACAUUCUGUUUACAAAGGACUAAUAAAAACCAGAUGACAGUACCCUGUUUGCUGCUAUUUUCAGACUCCAUGGAAGCAUGAACUCUGUGCUUUGUAUCACUCUAAGUCGAAAACUGAUCUUCUCUUGCUUUUUAACAAAAAUUAAUGAACAGAAUUAUGAAAAUAUUGCAUUGUAUUACAUAAAAUAUUCUUGUGUUCACUGUGGGAAACCAAGCUGUUGUUUCUAGGCUUUAAAUUAUUCAAGUUAGCUUUUCUGCCAUUCUUCAGAGUUUUUCCUAUUGAUUAAACCAAGAAUCUGAGAAAUGGGCUUAUUUCAGAAAAAUCGAGAGCUUCCCAGUAUGGAUCAGAUUAAAACUCUAUAUGUCAACUUUCUUGCAUGGGACAAACCAAAUCGAAUCAUCUUUGUUGCCAUUGUUGUAUUGUGUCCUUCACAGGAAGAAGGUGAGUAUUAAGGAAAGCCGUGGAUGAAACAGUGCAGAGGGAAAGUAGGAUUUACUUAUUGGAUGAGCUGUAAGACCACAUUUCUCAGAGCUGAUGGAUUCUCAUUGGGAUGUCACGUUGCAUUUGUGCACUAGGGAUGCACGUAAAGGGGUGUGGGUGGGCAAAUAAAGUACAAUGAUGCAAAUAGUCAAGGUAUCCCAAUGAUUGUGGAUGCCAAUAGAGAACCGAAUCCAGAAUCAAUUAAUUGGUAGCAACUCCUCUGUAUACUAUGAUAUGAAUUCAUUAGUUAUUUACUACCUACAAUGAAUUAAUUCAGCACUAAACUACCUUAAGCAGCAUUUCCUUAUGGGACUUACAGUUUGUAGGCUGAAGGCCCAGCUGUGUCUUAGCUGACAGUAAUGAACGUGCUGUGGCUAAUUGAAGUGGGAGGUGUUACGGUUGCGGUAUUCAGCUGACUCAGUGUUGACAACUCAAGUCAUUUCUUUUAAAAAAAACAAGUCAGGCUCAGCAAAUUUUGGCUGACUAAAACAAAAUAAAGUUAUUUUUGUGUCCUGUGUUCUAAGUUUUAGGCUCCUGAAAAAAGGUUUCUGAGCUGCCAAAAUAAAAUAUUUUUUCCGUGC